CUGCAGCACUGGCGUUAGUUAACAUGGCAAAUCAUAUGGCUGGGGCAUUGUGAUGUCACAAAUCCUUGCACCGGCCCUGGCUGGAGGGGGCUGAUAAACUGGCCGCACAGAGGAAAUGUGUAUGUGUGACUGUCUGCCUGUGACUGUGUGUGACUGUCUGCCAGUAACAGUGUGUGACUGUCUGUAACUGAGUGUGGGACUGUCUGCCUGUA